CCCUUAGAUGUCCUGGGCCGCACGCGCGUUACACUGAUGCAUUCAACGAGCUUAUAACCUUGGCCGAGAGGCCUGGGCAAUCUUGUUAACGUGCAUCGUGAUAUGGAUAGAUUAUUGAAAUUAUUAAUCUUGAACGAGGAAUUCCUAGUAAACGCAGAUCAUCAAUCUGCAUUGAUUACGUCCCUGCCCUUUGUACACACCGCCCGUCGCACCUACCGAUUGGAUGGUCCGGUGAAGCCUCGGGAUUGUGGUUCUUGCCGCUUUAUUGUGGCGUGACCGCGAGAACUUGUCUAAACCUUAUCAUCUAGAGGAAGGUGAAGUCGUAACA
rnacentral:rRNA from 1 species